CUGGCACACGCCAAUCAGCCUCACGAUGUGUGGGUGCUCGGUUCUGCUCAGUACCACAACCUGGAGAGUUCCAAACAUGAUUCAGGAGAUGCCUCUCCAAGCAGACAGCCUCUUCAGAAAUAUUUCUGGCACUCUGUAUCUCAUCAGAUUUAUCAGCACCCUCUUCGGAAAAAAUCUCCACCUCCUCACAAGCAUUUGAUUCCUCGACGCCUUGUUCAGCUUCCUGCACAUCGAAAAGGCGCUCGAGGUGCCAUCUUCAUUAAGCUCAAAUGCAUAGUACAACAUUUUGCAAGAGAGAGCAAGGGUUGUACAAAAUCCUGGAUAUUGUUUCUGUAUGUGUGGGCAACCUUAAAGAGUGAGUAGGUAGAAUUUCUGAAUGCACAUGUUUUAGUAGUUGUCUUGAAAGCAAAACGAAGGUGAGUUAUUACCUUUGCUGAUUGAUCAGCACCAUCCAUUUGAAUAACCCCAUCCCCAUUGAUGAUAUCAUCUGCCUGAAAUGAGACAUACUUGAGAAUACGCCACGAGUUAGGACCAAAACUUUGAACCAUAGUCAUGAACUUGUAAACUGAAACAGUUAUUAUUUGCAUAUGUUUAA